rnacentral:rRNA from 1 species
AGUGAACGCUGGCGGUAGGCCUAACACAUGCAAGUCGAACGGCAGCACAGAGGAGCUUGCUCCUUGGGUGGCGAGUGGCGGACGGGUGAGGAAUACAUCGGAAUCUACUCUGUCGUGGGGGAUAACGUAGGGAAACUUACGCUAAUACCGCAUACGACCUACGGGUGAAAGCAGGGGAUCUUCGGACCUUGCGCGAUUGAAUGAGCCGAUGUCGGAUUAGCUAGUUGGCGGGGUAAAGGCCCACCAAGGCGACGAUCCGUAGCUGGGCUGAGAGGGAGAUCAGCCACACUGGAACUGAGACACGGUCCAGACUCCUACGGGAGGCAGCAGUGGGGAAUAUUGGAAAAUGGGCGCAAGCCUGAUCCAGCCAUACCGCGUGGGUGAAGAAGGCCUUCGGGUUGUAAAGCCCUUUUGUUGGGAAAGAAAUCCAUCUGGUUAAUACCCGGGUGGGAUGACGGUACCCAAAGAAUAAGCACCGGCUAACUUCGUGCCAGCCGCCGCGGUAA